UAAUCAAAUAAGCAGACAUCGUGAAACAGUUUUUCCAGGAUUCGCAGGACAAGCCUUCAGUCAGCCUCCAGAACUGUGUCGUGUGGGAAGUGUUACUGGAACCGUAGAAAAAUAGUGCUUGUGCUCCACUCAUAGGUUCCUUUGUUGCACUGAGAAGAGACCAGUGGGUGUUGCAAGCGGCGCGCCACUCGGCUCAGUGCGGUAAUCUGUUCAGCGCUGCAGUGGCGGAGGUACAAGAGUAACCCGCGCCGAGGUACAGUGCUGGGCUACUAUUAGUUGUCUACGCUUCGGUCGAGUUGGAUUGUGGGUAUCAAGUCUUUCCUGUUUCGUGGGUGACUGGAAGGAAGGAAGACUUGUUUUGGGAAGCUUGAUCGACUGCGAAGUGAGAGAAGAGGAGUUACUGUCGAGUGUUCCAGAGAGAGAGAGAGAGAGAGAGAGAGAGAGAGAGAGAGAGAGAGAGAGAGAGAAAUGAAAUAAAACAA